ACCUAUCUGGCUCAGUUGGUGGAGCACGUGACUCUUGAUCUUGGCGUUGUGAGUUCAAGCCUCACAUUGGAUA
rnacentral:tRNA from 1 species